rnacentral:rRNA from 1 species
CUACGGGGCGCUGCAGUGGGGAAUAUUGCACAAUGGGUGCAAGCCUGAUGCAGCCAUGCCGCGUGUAUGAAGAAGGCCUUCGGGUUGUAAAGUACUUUCAGCGGGGAGGAAGGGAGUAAAGUUAAUACCUUUGCUCAUUGACGUUACCCGCAGAAGAAGCACCGGCUAACUCCGUGCCAGCAGCCGCGGUAAUACGGAGGGUGCAAGCGUUGAUCGGAAUUACUGGGCGUAAAGCGCACGCAGGCGGUUUGUUAAGUCAGAUGUGAAAUCCCCGGGCUCAACCUGGGAACUGCAUCUGAUACUGGCAAGCUUGAGUCUCGUAAAGGGGGGUAGAAUUCCAGGUGUAGCGGUGAAAUGCGUAGAGAUCUGGAGGAAUACCGGUGGCGAAGGCGGCCCCCUGGACGAAGACUGACGCUCAGGUGCGAAAGCGUGGGGAGCAAACAGGAUUAGAUACCCGAGUAGUC